rnacentral:rRNA from 1 species
ACGCGGCGUGCCUAAUACAUGCAAGUCGAACGAACUCUGGUAUUGAUUGGUGCUUGCAUCAUGAUUUACAUUUGAGUGAGUGGCGAACUGGUGAGUAACACGUGGGAAACCUGCCCAGAAGCGGGGGAUAACACCUGGAAACAGAUGCUAAUACCGCAUAACAACUUGGACCGCAUGGUCCGAGUUUGAAAGAUGGCUUCGGCUAUCACUUUUGGAUGGUCCCGCGGCGUAUUAGCUAGAUGGUGGGGUAACGGCUCACCAUGGCAAUGAUACGUAGCCGACCUGAGAGGGUAAUCGGCCACAUUGGGACUGAGACACGGCCCAAACUCCUACGGGAGGCAGCAGUAGGGAAUCUUCCACAAUGGACGAAAGUCUGAUGGAGCAACGCCGCGUGAGUGAAGAAGGGUUUCGGCUCGUAAAACUCUGUUGUUAAAGAAGAACAUAUCUGAGAGUAACUGUUCAGGUAUUGACGGUAUUUAACCAGAAAGCCACGGCUAACUACGUGCCAGCAGCCGCGGUAAUACGUAGGUGGCAAGCGUUGUCCGGAUUUAUUGGGCGUAAAGCGAGCGCAGGCGGUUUUUUAAGUCUGAUGUGAAAGCCUUCGGCUCAACCGAAGAAGUGCAUCGGAAACUGGGAAACUUGAGUGCAGAAGAGGACAGUGGAACUCCAUGUGUAGCGGUGAAAUGCGUAGAUAUAUGGAAGAACACCAGUGGCGAAGGCGGCUGUCUGGUCUGUAACUGACGCUGAGGCUCGAAAGUAUGGGUAGCAAACAGGAUUAGAUACCCUGGUAGUCCAUACCGUAAACGAUGAAUGCUAAGUGUUGGAGGGUUUCCGCCCUUCAGUGCUGCAGCUAACGCAUUAAGCAUUCCGCCUGGGGAGUACGGCCGCAAGGCUGAAACUCAAAGGAAUUGACGGGGGCCCGCACAAGCGGUGGAGCAUGUGGUUUAAUUCGAAGCUACGCGAAGAACCUUACCAGGUCUUGACAUACUAUGCAAAUCUAAGAGAUUAGACGUUCCCUUCGGGGACAUGGAUACAGGUGGUGCAUGGUUGUCGUCAGCUCGUGUCGUGAGAUGUUGGGUUAAGUCCCGCAACGAGCGCAACCCUUAUUAUCAGUUGCGCAUUAAGUUGGGCACUCUGGUGAGACUGCCGGUGACAAACCGGAGGAAGGUGGGGAUGACGUCAAAUCAUCAUGCCCCUUAUGACCUGGGCUACACACGUGCUACAAUGGAUGGUACAACGAGUUGCGAACUCGCGAGAGUAAGCUAAUCUCUUAAAGCCAUUCUCAGUUCGGAUUGUAGGCUGCAACUCGCCUACAUGAAGUCGGAAUCGCUAGUAAUCGCGGAUCAGCAUGCCGCGGUGAAUACGUUCCCGGGCCUUGUACACACCGCCCGUCACACCAUGAGAGUUUGUAACACCCAAAGUCGGUGGGGUAACCUUUUAGGAACCAGCCGCCUAAGGUGGGACAGAUGAUUAGGGUGAAGUCGUAACAAGGUAGCCGUAGGAGAACCUGCGGCUGAU